UGGUGGAGCGAUUUGUCUUGUUAAUUCCGAUAACGAACGAGACUCUGGCCUAUUAAAUAGUUCGCCGAUUCCGAUCUGUCGGCGUUAACUUCUUAGGGGGACAAGUGGCUUUUAGCCACGCGAGAUUGAGCAAUAACA
rnacentral:rRNA from 1 species